rnacentral:rRNA from 1 species
GUGGGGAAUCUUAGACAAUGGGGGAAACCCUGAUCUAGCCAUGCCGCGUGAGCGAUGAAGGCCUUAGGGUUGUAAAGCUCUUUCAGCUGGGAAGAUAAUGACUGUACCAGCAGAAGAAGCCCCGGCUAACUCCGUGCCAGCAGCCGCGGUAAUACGGAGGGGGCUAGCGUUGUUCGGAAUUACUGGGCGUAAAGCGCACGUAGGCGGACCGGCAAGUCAGAGGUGAAAUCCCAGGGCUCAACCUUGGAACUGCCUUUGAAACUCCUGGUCUUGAGGUCGAGAGAGGUGAGUGGAAUUCCGAGUGUAGAGGUGAAAUUCGUAGAUAUUCGGAGGAACACCAGUGGCGAAGGCGGCUCACUGGCUCGAUACUGACGCUGGGGUGCGAAAGCGUGGCGAGCAAACAGGAUUAGAAACCCCGGUAGUCC